CCAAUUUAUCUGUUCUUUUCUCUCUCGAACCUUCCAGCCAUUUCUUUAGCUUCCAAUUCUACUUCAUCUUUCAUCACACGUUUUCUUUGUUUUUCCCAUUCAAAUCAACAAAUUCUUUUAUUGAAUCAUGCAAGCAUGAGUAAAAUGGUACAACUUGGCAAACCAACCUCAUAAAGUGCAAUUGGGUAGCUUUUUGAGAUAGGAUUUGUGCUUUAUGGAAGGAGAAGAGUACCCACCCAUUGGUAGUUGCUUAUUGAGAUUCUUAGAGAUAUGAUAUUGGACGCUUCACAUGCUUCUCUAGGAGUGGUUGGAGAUCAAACUUAGUUGAUUCGUCAUAACUGGCACAGAAUCAUACACGCAGUUGAUGCCUCCCUGUGGUUUUGAUGAAAUGUCAUAUGUUAAGCCGGCAUCUUUAUGUAUAUUGAAAGACUCCUUGUGUUUUUCUCAUGAUAACUGGAGAACUGAAUUCAUUGUAUGGCAGAUGAAGAUCAUUGGAGUUGAAGAGCCAUGGACUCAACUCCUUAAAAUUAGCUACCAAAAUCUUCGAACUAGAUUUCAUGAUUUUGAUGACUUGGAAAAUUGUCAAUUGUUGCCAUUGCACCUUUCUGAUCACAACGAUACACUAAUAUUGGCUAAUAAUCAAGAACAACGAGCAAUUCUACAUAAUUUGAGGAAUAAAACAGCAAAGCGGACUAGAAUUAUCAAUGAAAUACAAUGGUUCUCUACCAAGGUUUAUGUUGAAAGUUUGGUUUCUGAUAUUUAGAAAGCACGUCAAGACAUUUGUGGGAUGGUUAGAGGAAAAAAAGAAAGGUGGAAAGGAAGAGUUUAAAAGGUUAUUGAUUUUAGAAUUGGAAGUGUUGGGUUAGAUCUUGCUUGCUGGCAUGAUGUCUCAUUUAGUUCAUUGAGUCCAGAAAUCUGACGAAAGUGUAAAUGUUUUAUAUGCAGCAAUAUCAGGGAAGAUUGUCUUAAAUGUUUUUGUGUCACAGUGCUUCCAACAGGAUACACACAGUUCAGUUCACCGAGUCAAAGGAAGUUUAUUUGUCACAGUGUUUUUUAUUCUAUUUGACAGUUCAUUAUUCAUUCGGAUUAAUUAUAAUGAGUUUAACUAUAGGCUGUUCUCAAUUUCUACUAGUUUCCAAACUUCAUAAUUAAAGUUAUUCGAAAUUAAAACAAUAAUAACAAAGUAAAAACUUUUUACUGCUAA